GGUCCCAGUACUUGUGGAUUAUUGAAUGCCUUAAACUGCUUAAGGUCUCCCAUAAUAUCCUGAAAUUAAUACAAAACUCAAUGACAACGUGGCGAACUGAACUCACAGCAUGGGGAAAUAAGUUGGGAGAGGUAAAUAUC